rnacentral:rRNA from 1 species
UACGGAGGAUGCGAGCGUUAUCCGGAUUUAUUGGGUUUAAAGGGUGCGCAGGCGGUCUGUUAAGUCAGCGGCCAAAGCCCGGGGCUCAACCCCGGCCCGCCGUUGAAACUGGCAGUCUCGAGUUGGAGAGAAGUAUGCGGAAUGCGCGGUGUAGCGGUGAAAUGCAUAGAUAUCGCGCAGAACUCCGAUUGCGAAGGCAGCAUGCCGGCUCCACACUGACGCUGAGGCACGAAAGCGUGGGUAUCGAACAGG